UAUUCCCACAGCUCCUGGGCCUUUUCCACGCUGCCUGUCGCACGCUAUACCACACACUCUGGAGAUCAGGUGAAGAUACUCCAGUACCGGCCAAUGACACUCAGAAUUCAAAAGUCCUAUUUCCGAAGCCCAAAGCAACCUCGUAAUGGUGAAGACCAGCUUGCUCCCUGUGUACCUCAGAAAAGCGAACUUCAGCAUUAACUGUCACCUCCUACAACAAAAUCUACAACAAAACAGCCUCUUUCUCCUGCAACCGUGAGUCCAGUGGCUCUCAAGUGUGACGUAAGUGUACCAGUCUUUUACAGGUGCUUCUUGUUCUGCCAGCCAACUAGCAGCAGCCACCUUUCUUAAACACAGUCGAGUCUUUGACAGUUCUGAGGAAAUUGGCCAUUCAGGGAUCUGAUGAUUCAGCAAAGUGACUUCCAGCAAAUUAAGUCCUGUCCCUUCCUGAGAAAUCAGAUCGUUCAUUUCUGGAAAGGUCAAAUUCCAUGAGGUGUCCGUGCCACACUCAGGUGAGCAUAAAUGACAAGAAGGAGCUGGAGAGGGUAAGAAGGGAACGAAGGAACGUAGGCCCUCAGCUUCUCUUCCUGCCAGCCCUGACCGAGGCCAUCUCAGGGGAGGGGCUUAAUGAGUGCUAGACACACAUGGUGGGUGGAAUGGGGACUCCCGGGCUUGCAGACAUGGGGACGAGUGCUGUUGAGUCUCCAACCCUGCACGCAGAGGACAUAUGAUGUGUAGGUAUUGCUUCUUCAGCUUGGAUAGAGACCCUGGCCCUCUGCACCCCAUGGAAGAAAAGCAAUGGCUACGUGGGAAUGUGAAGUGCAACAGAGCUGCUAGGGAAUCGGAGGAAAGGGGUGAGGGUCUCAGCUGAAGUAUGA